rnacentral:rRNA from 1 species
AGAGUUUGAUUAUGGCUCAGGACGAACGCUGGCGGCGUGCCUAACACAUGCAAGUCGAGCGGAGUAGAGUUCAACACUGAGUAUUCGAGCGUUGGCAAAAGUUAAGCCAGCGUCAUGCACAAACUACCUUGUUGAUAGACAUAUUUAAAAGAAAGUUUUGUGCAUCACGCUAAAUUAAGUGCCUAACACAAUGCUAUGACUAAAACAAGUCAAAAUAGUAUUGAUAAGAAACGCCACACUUGAGUGCUGAGUGUUGGACUCCACUUAGCGGCGGACGGGUGAGUAACGCGUGGGCAACCUGCCUUGCACAGGGGGAUAACACAGGGAAACUUGUGCUAAUACCGCAUAACAUCACGGGGAGGCAUCUUCCUGUGAUCAAAGGAGAAAUCCGGUGCAAGAUGGGCCCGCGUCCGAUUAGCUAGUUGGCGGUGUAACGGACCACCAAGGCGACGAUCGGUAGCCGAACUGAGAGGUUGAUCGGCCACAUUGGGACUGAGACACGGCCCAGACUCCUACGGGAGGCAGCAGUGGGGAAUAUUGCGCAAUGGAGGAAACUCUGACGCAGCAACGCCGCGUGAAGGAUGAAGGUCUUCGGAUUGUAAACUUCUUUGAUGAGGGACGAAGGAAGUGACGGUACCUCAAAAACAAGCCACGGCUAACUACGUGCCAGCANCCGCGGUAAUAGUAAGUGGCAAGGGUGUUCCGGAAAUAAUGGGUGAAAGGGGGGGUAGGCGGGGAUGUAAGUCAGAUGUGAAAUCCCAAGUUCACCCGUGGGGCCGCAUUUGAAAAUAUGUUUCUGAGUGCUGAGAGAAAAGCAGAAUCCUAGUGUAGCGGCGAAAUGCGUAGAUGUAGGAGGAACACCAGUGGGGAGGCGGCUUUCUGGACAGUAACUGACGCUGAGGCGCGAAAGCGUGGGGAGCGAACAGGAUUAGAUACCCUGGUAGUCCACGCCCGUAAACGAUGGAUACUAGGUGUAGGAGGUAUCGACCCUUUCUGUGCCGGAGUAAACACAAUAAGUAUCCCACCUGGGGAGUACGGCCGCAAGGUUGAAACUCAAAGGAAUUGACGGGGGCCCGCACAAGCAGUGGAGUAUGUGGUUUAAUUCGAAGCAACGCGAAGAACCUUACCAGGGCUUGACAUACAGAGGGGUAUGUCAGAGAUGGCAUAGCUCUUCGGAGCCUCUGUACAGGUGGUGCAUGGUUGUCGUCAGCUCGUGUCGUGAGAUGUUGGGUUAAGUCCCGCAACGAGCGCAACCCUUGUUGUUAGUUGGUAACACGUAAAGGUGACCACUCUAACGAGACUGCCGGUGACAAAUCGGAGGAAGGUGGGGACGACGUCAAAUCAUCAUGCCCCUUAUGUCCUGGGCUACACACGUACUACAAUGGCUACAACAAAGGGAAGCGAAGCCGUAAGGCGGAGCAAAUCCCCAAAAGUAGUCCCAGUUCGGAUUGUGGGCUGCAACCCGCCCACAUGAAGUCGGAAUUGCUAGUAAUGGCAGGUCAGCAUACUGCCGUGAAUACGUUCCCGGGCCUUGUACACACCGCCCGUCACACCAUGAGAGUCAGCAACACCCGAAGUCAGUAGCUUAACCGCAAGGAGGGCGCUGCCGAAGGUGGGGCCGAUGAUUGGGGUGAAGUCGUAACAAGGUAGCCGUAUCGGAAGGUGCGGCUGGAUCACCUCCUUUCUG